rfam:Ornithorhynchus anatinus chromosome X1, whole genome shotgun sequence.
GCGUUGGCGGUAUAGUGGUGAGCAUAGCUGCCUUCCAAGCAGUUGACCCGGGUUCGUUUCCCUGCCAACACA